UGGACAGAUUAUUGUAUUCGACUGUAAUCACUGCUUGAAACAGGGGAUUACACUGUUUUUAAACGGAAAGUGAAUCAAUUAACAUAAUAGACUCCU
rnacentral:pre_miRNA from 1 species